rnacentral:rRNA from 1 species
UAAUACGGAGGGUGCGAGCGUUGUCCGGAAUCACUGGGCGUAAAGGGCGCGUAGGUGGCUUCUCAAGCGCGCGGUGAAAGCCCGGGGCUCAACCCCGGGUCGGCCGUGCGGACUGGGAGGCUCGAGCACUGUAGGGGCGGGUGGAAUUCCGGGUGUAGCGGUGGAAUGCGUAGAGAUCCGGAAGAACACCGGUGGCGAAGGCGGCCCGCUGGGCAGGAAGACGGGGCAACCCGUCGGCUGACACUGAGGCGCGACAGCGUGGGGAGCAAACAGGAUUAGAUACCCUGGUAGUCCACGCCGUAAACGAUGGGCACUAGGUGCCUGGGGGAGCGACCCCCCGGGUGCCGGCGCUAACGCAUUAAGUGCCCCGCCUGGGGAGUACGGCCGCAAGGCUG